AUACGUAGGGAGCAAGCGUUGUCCGGAUUUACUGGGUGUAAAGGGUGCGUAGGCGGCUUUUUAAGUCAGAUGUGAAAUCUAUGGGCUCAACCCAUAAACUGCAUUUGAAACUAGAGAGCUUGAGUGAAGUAGAGGCAGGCGGAAUUCCCUGUGUAGCGGUGAAAUGCGUAGAGAUAGGGAGGAACACCAGUGGCGAAGGCGGCCUGCUGGGCUUUAACUGACGCUGAGGCACGAAAGCGUGGGUAGCAAACAGGAUUAGAUACCCUGGUAGUCCACGCUGUAAACGAUGAUUACUAGGUGUGGGGGGACUGACCCCUUCCGUGCCGGAGUUAACACAAUAAGUAAUCCACCUGGGGAGUACGGCCGCAAGGUUGAAACUCAAAUGAAUUGACGGGG
rnacentral:rRNA from 1 species